CAGACGAUUUCAACCCUUGAUAGCUACUUGUUGUACCUUAGAGGAGUUGCCCUUCAGAAAACAGAAAAUGCAAAUGGGUGUCCAAGUCCUUGUCACUGAUCCCUGGGAACUUGAAAAGUUUACGAAAGGUAAUUUGAUGGAUCUUUUGAAAUAGUGUCAGUGCAAAAUAUAAGAUGAAUUAUGAGUGGCUAUUAACUCAAUUAAAAUCUCUGAGGGGUUCUGAAAGGAACUUUCGCUUCUGGGAGUAUAACUGAAAUUGGUAUGAUUACAGGAGCUUAUAAAUAGAUUAAAUGUUCACCUUUUGCUUCUUAUUGAUUCAGUUCUUAUGUCCAUGAUCUGUUUCCGAAAGUGGACCUGACGAAAACUGGUGACAAAUAUGGUUCAUGACUUCAGCUGCAACUCAGUAUUGGGAAUUUGAUAUGUUGGGUAUCAGUUAUGGAUGGAUUGCAUUGUUUUUGGAUUUACAUUUAAUUCAGCUUCAACUGUUUCUUUGUCUUCCCUUAUAAUUUGAAUACCAUUGCAUCUUAUGGAACAACAACAUGAGCUUGUUCAUGGUGUUAUUGUAUAAUACCAUCCUAUCCACUGGAUUGUUUGACAUGUUUUGCUGUGAUGCUAUAUAUUUUGACAUUGUUUGGGUAUAUCUUGGUGGUUUUUUGUGUAGAGGGUCAUUAUUUGGGUGUUCUACAUACUGAAGUUUAUCUUGUGUUAUUUCUAGUACUUCUCUCCCACUUUAUAAAGGCUGAUACAUGUCCUUUGUAAGAAGAGGGCAUACCCAGUGCACAAGGCUCCCGCCAUCGCAGUGUCUGGGGAGGGUCGUAAUGUGGAAAAAUGAAAUUCACUUUACAUUUGUCAUGGGAAAUGUCAAACAACUCAAGUGCGGGUUUCAACAUUUUCUGAAGGGGAAGGAGAGGAAACAUUUGAUUCGUAGCUUCUUGGUCUUGCAGAUGAAAACAUGGAGGAGCGUGUUGCUGAUGAUGAUGUGAUCCUGAUAAAAGGGACCAAACCACAACUGCAGUAUGGGGCUCAUUGUAUUUAAUUGCGUUUAGUCUUCUGAACCAGGGUAACCAGGAUCCUUUCUUUGCAUGGAAUUCAAAUUGGACAGGCUGGAGCUCAGCUCUAGUCUGCAAACAAUGGAAGUUUUGAGGCCCAUGCUCAGCCAUUUGGGGUAUAUCCAAUUGCUUUAUGCUUCAGUCACGAAAAUAUCUUUAAACUGAAGUCAUAUUCACUGCCUGCUUGAUCUGCAGAGUUGCAAAUGAAUACAUGCUUGAUGAUAUGCUUUAGUUUUUUUAAGAGAACACUUAAAGAGUCCAAAGUGUAUGGGGUUAGACCUUUCCAGGGAAACCAUCCACAAGAACUUAGAAGCAGGGGUUAUCGAGCCGGCAAUGAGCAAAGGAAGAUUUUACUGGUAGAGAGAAAAAGACUUUGGUAGGAUUUCAAUUUGGGUGAGAUUAUAGUUAUUGAUUCUCUUCAUGAUAUGUAUUCAUUUUGUGAAUUCUGUAUUCUAGUUCGCUACCAAAACUUCUGUUACAAAUUUGGGUAUAGGAAACAUGAUCCAGGUUGUCAAAGAUGGACGUGGAAAUGGAGAGUAGAACUCCCAAGUUUCAAUCCCCAAGACAACAUAAGUUACAGUUUUGCUGAGUUCGUGCAUGAUUUGUUGCUGUGAAACUGAUGAGUAUCACAAUUUUAGUAUAUCCCCGCAUCAUUUGUGCAAAAGAGAACAGUGCUGAACAUACUUCAAAGCUCUUCUAGGCUCUCCAGUACAAACAAAGAGAAUAGUGAAGCUCUUUCCUAAUGAGAGAAUACAUCUUCAAUGGUCCUUAAGAAGAGAGAACCCACCCACUUUACACUUGGAGGAUUACUUGAACAUACCCUUCUUAUUUUCCAACUAAAAGGCGGUCUCUUCAAAAGUGCAGCAAAAUCAAUAAGCUGAAAGAUCUCGCAUUCAAAUCCAAUUGCGGACUUCCCAGCCAAAAGUGCAGCAAAAUCAAGAUCCUCGAAUGAGAUGGUUUCCCUUCCUAGUCAUAUUAGGGAAGACUUGGCCAUUGAUGCAAUGACUAGACCGAGAUUCAGAUUCCAAUGAUUUGUGUGGGCUUCCUUGCUAAUGGCAAUGCUGAAGGUGGGGAUUGGUCCUAUCAGUCUUGGGGUUGAUUAUUUCAGUUUAGGUGGUUCUCUGAUGUAUUUGAUGUUUUCUUCUUUUUAAUAUAAUUUGAUCCUUUCUAGCAAAAAAAAAAAGGGUCUCUGCCCUGCAUGGUCUAUCUUUCUUGGAAGAAGUUCGAAAACAAAA